rnacentral:rRNA from 1 species
AACGAACGCUGGCGGCGUGCUUAACACAUGCAAGUCGAACGCGAAAGGGGCUUCGGUCCCGAGUAGAGUGGCGCACGGGUGAGUAACGCGUAAGUAAUCUACCCCCGCAUUCGGAAUAACUCGUCGAAAGGUGAGCUAAUACCGGAUACGUUUAUCUUGAUGCGAAUGAUGAUAAGAAAGGUGGCCUCUUCAUGAAAGCUACUGUGCAGGGAUGAGCUUGCGUACCAUUAGCUAGUUGGUAGGGUAAUGGCCUACCAAGGCGACGAUGGUUAGCGGGUCUGAGAGGAUGAUACGCCACACUGAAACUGGAACACGGACCAGACUCGUACGGGGGGAAGCAGUGAGGGAUAUUGCGCAAUGGGGGCAACCCUGACGCCGCGACGCCGCGUGGAUGAUGAAGGCCCUUGGGUCGUAAAAUCCUGUCAGAUGGAAAGAAAUGUAUGGGUGUUAAUAUCGCCUGUAUUUGACGGUACCAUCAAAGGAAGCACCGGCUAACUCCGUGCCAGCCGCCGCCGUAAUAC